UCCCCUCACCGCUUUACCGGCACACUCUGCGCUAUUUAUAGGGAACAGAAGACACCAAUUGUCAAAAAUCCCAGAAACUGUCAUAUCUUAGUUAAUGUGGAGAGUCAGAAAACAGAACUUGCUAUUCGAAAGUCUUCUUAAAUUUGAUUUUUUAAUUUUUCUCGUCAUUUUCCAAUAUUCGUCCAUUCUGGUGGAACCGAGGAACGAGAGAAGCAUUUGAUAAGCAUACGGACACCGAGGGCCGAGCGAGACGGGUUUGAGGUCAUAAGUGAGCACUGAAUGAGGGACUGGAGUGUCCUAGAUCGGUCAUGCCCUGAGGUGUGUGCCCUCUGCCACUCCAUCUGCCCUUUGAGAGCAGCACAGUGCUUCAUGUCACCCUGACACCCAGAGGCCACAGCGAGGCCGCAAUGACACUGAAUUAUAUAGCAUGAGGUAAAAAUACAGGAGCUGAAUCCACCACGGUACAACACAGAGCGGCGCUGUGGGCAGUCGAGGCCAUGGAGCAGGAGGAAAAAAGAGAAAGAGUGUAUGUUGCAAGCACCAGGCUACAGAAGGAGAGCAGACCCAAGGGAGCAGCCCUGCGCCUGCAGCCCCAUGAUGAUGAUUGAUACAGGCAGGACACACACACCCCAGCCGCUCAGCAAAAUUAAAAGCCUAUUUUGUAAAGUUGUAAAGGAGCAGAAUGGCACAAGGCUAAGGCUGCUCCCCACCCCUCCUCCCUCCUCUCACCGCCGGGGUCCCGUUUAGUGUCUUUGGUAUCAUCUACUCCUCAGGGAGCAGGCAGAGGGACUGUUACACGCCUUUCACUCAAGCACAUGAAUGCGCACAAACAGACACACACACUCAACCUCCUGCAUAUGCCCUCAAGACUGGAGCGUGUCUGCUUGAUGAAUGUUUCCAUGUGUGUGUGUCCAUGUGUGUGCAUGUGUCUCCAGCUGCUAAGAUCAUAGAGAUACAACAUCACAUAAAAAUACACAAGCUACUAACAUUUUAUCAGCACGAUUCA